AUGGCUCCUCCGUCCACCGACUCUGUCCGUGCAAGUGGCCAGUUUACUUCCGCCCCAACCUUCUCCACUGUCUCCCCAGUUCAUCCUUCGUCCACCCUUGCUGCUCGAGGUGCUCAUUUGCCAAGGCCUCGAGGAAGCCACGUGAGGAGGAGAGACCUCUCGAGAAGCUGCGGGAGGAGGGGCUCAACCAGAGAGGAGCAGAUGCCAGGUAGUCGGCUCGGCUGGACGCCGCCCUUCGUGUCCGGGCCGCGGCAGACCCUAGCGCCGUCCUUCAGGCGUCUUCACGGCUGCAGAUCUGCACUACAAGCUAAAGGCGCGCAAUCUGUAUAUUUUGUUCCAAUAAAGAAAUCUGGACCAUAUAGAAUGAUCAAUGAUAGGAUCCUGCUGCGUUCUAAUAAUGGAUUGUUCAAAGGAUCUGUUUAA
rnacentral:rRNA from 1 species